CUCAUUGUCCCAGAGGAAGCUCUGUCCCCCUCAGCAGUUGCUCCCCAUCCUGCCCCCCACACCCCAAAACCAGGCAUCUCCUUCCUCCCUCUGUGGACUGGCCUGUCCUGGACAUCUCAUAGAAAUGGGAUCGCGCACUGUGUGGCCUUUUGUGCCUGGAGUCUCUCACCGAGUGGCCCAUCCUCAGAGUUCAUCCACUCUGUGGCCUGCGUCAGAGCCUUGCUCCAUUUCAUGGCUGAGUCGCGUUCUGCUGUGUGUGGUGCCGGGCGACCUGCUCCCCUGCUGAUGGGCGCUCAUGUGGCCUACUCUCUGGCUAUUGGGAGUCGUGCUGCUGUGGACAUUGGUGUGCAGGUGCUGGUGUGGACGUUGGUGUGCAGGUGCUGGUGUGGACAUUGGUGUGCAGGUGUUGGUGUGGGUGCUGGUGUGGACGUUGGUGUGCAGGUGUUGGUGUGGGUGCUGGUGUGGACGUUGGUGUGCAGGUGUUGGUGUGGGUGCUGGUGUGGACGUUGGUGUGCAGGUGUUGGUGUGGGUGUUGGUGUGGACGUUGGUGUGCAGGUGUUGGUGUGGGUGUUGGUGUGGACGUUGGUGUGUAGGUGUUGGUGUGCAGGUGUUGGUGUGGACAUUGGUGUGCAGGUGUUGGUGUGGAUAUUGGUGUGCAGGUGUUGGUGUGGAUAUUGGUGUGCAGGUGUUGGUGUGGACAUUGGUGUGCAGGUGCUGGUGUGGACGUUGGUGUGCAGGUGUUGGUGUGGACGUUGGUGUGCAGGUGUUGGCGUGGAUGUUGGUGUGCAGGUGUUGGCGUGGACAUUGGUGUGCAGGUGCUGGUGUAGACAUUGGUGUGCAGGUGCUGGUGUGGACGUUGGUGUGUAGGUGUUGGUGUGCAGGUGUUGGUGUGGACAUUGGUGUGCAGGUGUUGGUGUGGAUAUUGGUGUGCAGGUGCUGGUGUGGACGUUGGUGUGCAGGUGUUGGUGUGCAGGUGUUGGUGUGGACAUUGGUGUGCAGGUGGUGUGGACGUUGGUGUGCAGGUGCUGGUGUGGACGUUGGUGUGCAGGUGUUGGUGUACAGGUGUUGGUGUGGACAUUGGUGUGCAGGUGUUGGUGUGGACAUU
rnacentral:lncRNA from 1 species